rnacentral:rRNA from 1 species
GCUCCAGACUCCUACGGGAGGCAGCAGUGAGGAAUAUUGGUCAAUGGGCGGAAGCCUGAACCAGCCAAGUCGCGUGAGGGAAUAAGGCCCUACGGGUCGUAAACCUCUUUUGCCGGGGAGCAAGGGCCGGGACGCGUCCCGGCCCGGAGAGUACCCGGAGAAAAAGCAUCGGCUAACUCCGUGCCAGCAGCCGCGGUAAUACGGAGGAUCCGAGCGUUAUCCGGAUUUAUUGGGUUUAAAGGGAGCGUAGGUGGAUCGUUAAGUCAGUUGUGAAAGUUUGCGGCUCAACCGUAAAAUUGCAGUUGAAACUAGCAGUCUUGAGUACAGUAGAGGUGGGCGGAAUUCGUGGUGUAGCGGUGAAAUGCUUAGAUAUCACGAAGAACUCCGAUUGCGAAGGCAGUUCACUGGACUGCAACUGACACUGAGGCUCGAAAGUGUGGGUAUCAAACAGGAUUAGAUACCCCGGUAGUC